AAAAUUUCUUACGGGCAGAUUGCACAAGAGAUUCUUUGCAAGGGCAGUCUAUUUGUGUCGUUGAUAUGUAAUGAUGUGCCGUAUGAGUCACAUUUUUAAUAUCCAUCACAUAUAAAUAUAAAAAGAUAUACAUGUAAGCCUAAAUUUCCCCUAAAAUAAUACAUCUAUUUUUUAGAUUCAAUAUGUAGGUCUACUAUGCCGGGGGGGGGGGGGAGGUACUUAGAUUUGGUUUGGACAAAGGUGUGCGGCUGAAGGUUUGAAACCCGUACCCAUAUUUACAGGUCAUUUUGGCUAAAAAGGGGCCCAUUAUUGGGGAUUCAUUACAGGGGCGGAUCCAGGAUUUCCAAAAGGGGGGGGGGCACAUUUUCGCCUGGAAAACUUGACAAGUAAAAAAAAAAGAAAAAGGUUAAUGCCCAAAAUGUAAGAUAAUUUUGUAUUUGCACCUAAGACAUUGGAGUAGAAUGUGGACCCAUGUUUAAGGCCAGUAUCUAAAAAUUGGGCCAUGUUUAGGGAUUUUCCAGCAUAAAUCCAUACCCCAUGUUUAGGGAUUUCUUCCAAAAAGGCGACCCAUUCCAGCGGCACAUCCCCAUAUGCAUUAUUUCGUGAGUAACCCCCACCCCCCGGGCUACUAUGUAACUGACUCUAGUCUUAACUUGAUUUUUAUGCAAGCACAUGAGAUGCUAUAUAGAUGACAGAUUUUUUUUUUUCUCUUUAAAUUAUUUAAUGGAUGAUUACAAUGCUUUUCCAGGUGCUUACAGUAAAAGGGUGUCUCAUUUGGUGCACCAUUAGGUGCAUCAUUAUUAAUAUUGAAUGCAUAAUCAUAAUUUUUUUUACAUCCUUUUACAUCAAGUACAAUACUCGGGGGGGGGGGGGGCAUAUGGUCCCCCUUGACAUUUUUCAGAAUAAAUCUGCCACUCAAAAUUGUAUUACCGCACCAUUGACUGACGUUUUACUUUCAAGUCUCACGCAACUUUUGAGACCAAAUUUGCAAUUCCCAGGUACAGGGUCAGGAAAUUUUGCAACAUUGUGUUUGUUUAAGUACAUGUCAGACAAAAACAUGAUUACAUGUAAAAAGUCAAUAUUCAUAAUUGGGUAAUUUUUUUAUUGACAAUAGUUAUUCAAUGUCACUGAUGAACUAUGUGUUGAAAAUAACAAUUAAAAGAAAUACAUUUAAGAAGUUAAGAAAAAAUAUUAAAAAAAAAACAUGAAAGGAAUUCAUUUUUAUACCAGAUUUUUAAAAGUAAAGUUGUUAGGAAUGCUCUAGAAAGGAAUAUCUACACCAAAGUUUAGCAUUCUAUUACGAGCUUUUUUUAGUAAAUUAAAGCGAAAGGUAUGAUUUCAUAAAUUUUUUAAUUGCACCGCCCAUGGAUGAGGAACCAUAGUGCCCCUCCCCAGGCCAGAAGCGACUUUAAUCAAAACACCCUGGGACUACUAUAAUGAUUAACACCCUGGCAACUGAGCUUAACUUGUAUAUUAAUUUCAUGAACAUGUUUUAUCUCUUUGCUUUUUGCUUUUAAUUGCUUACUACAGUUAUGAUGCCAAAGAAGUCUGGAAUAAACAAGAAACCUCCGAACCACCAUAACUGUGUCUGCUACAAUGUGUGUUCUUGCAACCAGCUGAUUGAUUCAUUUUGUCAACUCUCAAAUGGUUGAUUAUCAGAACUGAAUUCAGAGCUGCUCCUGUCUGUAGUAACAUCUUAUUAGAGUGGACUUCAGAAUGAGGGUGUUGCUGGUUUAAAAACUUCACUCCAUGGAGCUCUCCAAAGUCAUCUCAAAUUAGACUGCUUCUGGAAACCAAAUUUGUUCCUUCAAGCAGAGAAGCUUGUGGCUUUCCUGACUGGACUUCUAUGGAUUCUUCUUGCCAACAUUAAGGACUGUGGGCUGACAUUCAGUGGUAAAACACUUGAUGAAGAUGAUAUGAAUUUUUAUUUGAUAUAAAUGAAUCUCAGAAGUAAUUCCUCAGGAGUAAGAAACAAUGAAAAUUAAAAAUAAAAGGUCCAUCAAUAA